rnacentral:snRNA from 1 species
GUGCUUGUUUUGGCAACACAUACACUAAAAUUGGAAUGGUAUAGAGAAGAUUAACAUGUUCCUAGCACAAAUGUGUCGUGCAAAUUCAUGAAUAUUCCAUAUUUUU